GGGGAAAGACAGAGGGCACAUGCAUUGGAUGACAGGAGCUGCCACAUGUUUUAGUCAUAAAUCUCUCUGAAGGAGAAAAACAGAGGGAAAGCUGGAGCAAAAGAGGCAGACAGAAAGGAGAUGAUCCCAUUACACUUUCCUGCUCUGGUGUUCACUUCUAAUCGAAAACUAGACCAAGACCUGGCCAAUGCAUCUGGAGAAAGUAGCACCAAAAAAGACAAGAGCAUUGCCAUGGCCAGACAACUGAACUGGUUCCAUCGAGCCGUCGCCAGUUCCAUCUUGGAUCAAUUUGCUUCAAGAGGAUGUGUAGGGCUCAUUCGUUUCAACCGCAUGCUUCUCCUGAGACACAGUCCGGAAUCUGUCAGCGGGUGGCAAACCCUGGAGAUGGUUAUGGAGAACAACAUCACAAGGACACUGUCAGAGAGGAGCAGCAGUCAGAUGGAGCAUCAGGCUGUGAUUGAUUGGGGCUCCCCAUCCAGUUGUAAGCAGAUCUCAUCCAUCAUUGAAUGGGCAGCACUGUGGGGAGGUCAACCUAUUGUGCCCAGUCAGAGAAAUCAUUCUGCCAGGCCUGGCAGAUACUACCAAACUGAAAUGCUAUACUUGUGUUCAAUAUAUAUACACAUUUAUAUAAAACUUUUCAUAGAUUAACAAGUAAUUCCGAGUUCACAUGAUAGCAGGUAAUGUGUUCGUUCCACUUUUCUGCUAAGGAAACAAUUGCUGAGGUUUGACAUACAGAUAAUGGAUAAACCUUCACACAGCCAGCCAUGCCAAAAGCUACAUUAAUUACAGUGCUGCUCAUUAACACCUAGCAUGCUCCUGCUUCAUGCUGGUUAUCUCGUCUGACCCCAUUUCUGCUCCUUUUGCCCCGUCUGUCCCUUGGGCUUUCGCUCUUC
ensembl:lncRNA